GAGUGAACGCGGUUCGUUUGUAGUGUCUUUCUUCAGCGCCACUUGGUUUGUUACUUUCCAAAGAUGGGAGUGGCUUCUCCUGGCAUUCGUCUCCGCCCUCCCUGCUAGGAGCAUCGUUAUCGUGAACGGCGCGUGACUCUCGCUGCUGCCGGCCCAGCGAGCCAGGACGAGCAAUGGGAGGUCGGUCUUGCCGCUGACUUUGGUGGAGCGUCCCCUGCGUGGACUCGCCCUGUCGUCCUGUCGGCACAGUCCAGCGGCGUUCUCCGGGACGAUGCCGAGCCCGGCGCGCGCCAGCUGAUACAUGAGGACCCGCCAGAGUAACCGGGCGCGCGCCAGCAAGCCGCGCGCGUCGCCGGC